UGGUUGCCCUGUCCGCGCGCGGCCACCUGACCUAGGGCGCCGUUGUUAUUAGGAGCGGCGAGGCGGGAGGCGCGCGGCAGCGGGGCUGGGCUCCAGCCCGGAGUCAGACGAGGGAGCGCGCGCGCGCUCCCGGACAGUCCGCCGCAGCCACUGGCCCCGUGCCUUCUACCUGGUCAACACGGCUGCCUCGACCACCUCGCGUGCCCGGUUCGCGGGCUUUCAGGCUUCUGGAAUACACUUUGUCCAUAGAGUGGAUAGAAGCCCCUGAAUCGUAUUUCUGGAGGCAGCCCUAACCAGCCACUGCCGGGAAGGGCCCAGGAGAAGCAGCAGCUGAAGAAGACAGGAGGAAGAGAAGGAGAAGG